GCUGGGCGUGGUGGCGGGCACCUGUAAUCCCAGGUACUCAGGAGGCUGAGGCAGGAGAAUCGCUUGAACCUGGGAGGUGGAGGUUGCAGUGAGCAGAGAUCCUGCCACUGCACUUCAGCCCAGGCAACAGUGCGAGACUCUGUCUCAA
rnacentral:SRP_RNA from 1 species